rnacentral:misc_RNA from 1 species
AACAAGGCGUACCUGCGGACCUGCGGAGGGAUCAUUACAGUGCCGCGGGGCGCGCCGGUCUCCGGCCUCCGCCCCGCAUACGGCCACCCGUGUCUACCGUACCUUCUGUUGCCUCGGCGGGCCCGUCGCUCCCUUCCCUCCGCACGGGGGGGAGGUGCGACCGCCGGACGGCGCCUGCCGCCCGGCCCGCGCCCGCCAGAGGACCACGCGAACCCUUCGUGAAUUUUGGCGACGUCUGAG